rnacentral:rRNA from 1 species
GCCAACUACGGCGCGUAGGCCUCGGUAAUGCGUGUGGGUCGAGCGUUGUCCGGAGUUAUUGUGCGUAAAGCGCGCUUAGGCGGUUUGGUAAGCCGGGUGUGAAACCCUCGAGCUCAACUCGGGGCGGCCACUCGGAACUGUCAUGACUCGAGUCAGGUAGGGGAACACGGAAUUCCAGGUGUAGCGGUGAAAUGCUUAGAUAUCUGGAGGAACACCAGUGGCGAAGGCGGUGUUCUGGGCCUGUACUGACGCUGAUGCGCGAAAGCGUGGGGAGCGAACAGGAUUAGAUACCCUUGUAGC